rnacentral:rRNA from 1 species
GACGAACGCUGGCGGCGUGCUUAACACAUGCAAGUCGAACGGAAAGGCCCUGCUUGCAGGGUACUCGAGUGGCGAACGGGUGAGUAACACGUGGGUGAUCUGCCCUGCACUUCGGGAUAAGCCUGGGAAACUGGGUCUAAUACCGGAUAUGACCUUCCAUGUAGUGUGGGGGGUGGAAAGAUUUAUCGGUGUGGGAUGAGCCCGCGGCCUAUCAGCUUGUUGGUGGGGUAAUGGCCUACCAAGGCGUCGACGGGUAGCCGGCCUGAGAGGGUGGACGGCCACAUUGGGACUGAGAUACGGCCCAGACUCCUACGGGAGGCAGCAGUGGGGAAUAUUGCACAAUGGGCGGAAGCCUGAUGCAGCGACGCCGCGUGGGGGAUGACGGCCUUCGGGUUGUAAACCUCUUUCGACAGGGACGAAGCUUCGGUGACGGUACCUGUAUAAGAAGCACCGGCUAACUACGU